GUGACUCAUCGGUGUAAAUAUUUUGCGGAUUUCACAGUUGUGUAACAACUGUCCACCGUCCAAUGUGUGGUCAGAGGUACUCACAUACAAUGAACUGUGUGGAAGGAUUGAAAAAUCUACCUAAUGGCUUUAACUUGAUUCUAAUAACAGCACAAUAUGGAACAAUUACUUUCAGAAAGUUCUGGAGAAGGCAAUGUAUUUUUUUAAACUAUUUGUUUUAUUUAUAAAUGUUAUUAUCAUCAUCAACAACAACAACAUAAAUCAAUCCAAUACAGGAUGAAGGUCUCUUCUUCACUACCACACUAGUCUAAUGUGGGUUGACAGGUAAGACAUGUUUUAACUUUCUGGUCCAGGGCUGCAAAAGAAGUGGUCCCAAGUCACACAGCUAGUUCUGUAUCUUGUGGCUUUCACAGCAUAGGCUAGUAGUGUAAUAGGCACUUGUCACCAGUAAACCUGGUAUAGAUCAGCCCUGUGUAGGGAACAAAGCCAGGUUGCCCCUGAUAUUGCCUAUGAAUCAUGCUAGGCAUAAAGAAACAGCAACAGCCAAUUCAACUGGAACAAAAGGAUGUGAGCAGGCAUGCAGAGAAUAUCCCAGUGAGGACAGAACAACCAUUUAUUAUGGACUGGAAGCAAAGAAAGGAGCAUCAUCACAGCAUCUGCAUGCAGAUAUGAGGUCUACAAUUCAUGACACAAAUUGUAUUCUCAAGAGCAAUGAUUUCUAUUUUCUUAUAAAAGUUAAGGAUAAAAGCUGGAUAUUUAAAAACACUGUAAACAAUAAUGACCAGAUUUCAUGAAGGGAAAGUAUGCUAAAACUGAUCUGAGUUCUACCAUUUGGGAGAUGGAGAAUUUGAAUAUAAAAUCAUUUUUGUCCUGUCUAUUUUAGUUUAACUUAAACGGAGCAUCCUUUUGGAUUUCCUAAUUUCUUUCUGAGACCUAAUCUUCUACACUCUUUAUUAUUUCCACUUUGAAGUGGGAGCUUAAAUCAGUGAAGAAAAAUGACUCUGUGCUAAUGUAGUACAAGCUAUUCAAAUCUAGGAUCCUGAACCAAUAGUUAUGAGAGAUGAAGGAACUGCUCUUCUGACCACACUAUUACAAAUAAGUGGAUGUUUUCAUAAAACAAGCCACAAGUCACAUCUAUGACUAACUGAAAAAUCCAAAACAGGAUGUGAGACAAGAACCUUCUGUGGCUGUUCCCCUGCAGUGAGUAUUUAGAGCUAAGAUAUUUAGAUAUACAAGUGUCCAGACUAGUACACACCAAAAGGUACUUAUUCCAUUAUCUGCUGAAGCCCUCUUAUAAAAGCUUAUAAAUUGGUAUCUUCAAACAAUUAUGUUCCAUCGUUUUAUGUACACAUUAUAAAAAGAAGUAUUUCUUUGUAAUUCUUUUAUUCACAAACCAUCAAACUAACCAAAAUUAGUUCAGUUCUUUCACUUAGCUCCUACCCGUUGUAAUAUCUAAUCUUAUCGUUCUUCCUCUUCAACCUAUUAUUCUCCAAUUCUAAGAUUACAGUCUUCCUCGUACUUUCAUUCAGAAACCUGUGUCACUCUAGACUUGCUGAAUAUCGAAAAUACAGUUAAACCUCUGCACCUCUCAGGAAGAGUAUCAAGCCCACUAAGCAUCAGUAGGAUGGAGGCAAUAUUAUGAUGUAUAAGGAUUUCUUAAAAGGCAAACAAACUUGUACAAUUUUUAUUGUUAUAUUUUAAUUGGCUUGUAUUUAUUACAAAGCAGCGGUUGUUAGUCUACAUAAUUGAGAACCUUGCAUUCCUUGUGGGAAGAGUAGACCUGAAUUUUUGAAGGUUGCCAUUCUGUUUCUAGAAAAUGUCAUUAUGACCAACGAUGUGAAUGGAAUAUAUUAGAAGUUAUAAAAGGCGUAUAUUAAAAAAAUCAUUUAAAUCAUUGCUCAGUGUUUGAGACAUUUUUGAACAAAAAUCAAAACAGAAUUUAAAAGGGCAGCAAAAACACUUCUGAAUGUACUCACUAUUCAUUCUUUGCUGUCUUUCUUGCCUAGCUGUAGAUCUACCUUGUCAGCACUGUGUCUUGAGAGAGCUCCAUGUCAUUCUUCAGUUCAACAGAUCAUAAGAAAUAUAAAUGGAAAAAUUAAAUGAAGAGGGAGAAAAACUAGGCCUGCAAUGUUAGGCACUUACCUGAGAAUAAAUUUAAUCCAGUUCAAUAAGGCCUAUUUCUGAAAUGCAUCAAAUUGUCCUACAAAGACUAAUAUAUAUUCCUUGUAUUCAAUUAGGACAUCAAUAGUGGGAUUUGAAUAGUCUCCAGUUUCUUUCCAACCAGUUUGUACAUUAGGGAGUUGAUGCCAAGCAAGAUGUCCACAUUUUGUCUUUCAGUUCUCUGCAUGGAUAACUGAUUUGAAAUAUGUUGGAAAGGAUGUCAGAAAUUAUUUUGCUAUCAUGAUAGAAAACCACCAAAAUACAAGCCCUUAGAAAAUCUCUCUGCAUACAAAUCAUAAAAAAUAGCGGGUGUGUCAAUUUGCAAUCCUAUCUUAAAAUAUGGCAGAGAGUUUAUAAUACAUAUAAAACUGUAUCAUUUUUUUCUUAGUGGUUGUUAUAGAUUUCAUGUAGCCCAAACUAACCCAGAACAAUCAGCUUUAGAAAUACCAUAAUGUUUUAAAACACAUUUUUAUUUAUUAAAUUUCUACACUGCCUAACUCAACUAGGUAACUGGGUGAUUCACAUUGCUUACACUUCUACUAAAAAAACAAUCACCUGAAGCAGACACAUUUGCCAGUACUUCUAACCCUGAGAUGAUAUAUUCAUUUUUACAUGCAAAAUUGUAGCUUUUGCCAGGCAGGAACCACAAAAACACAAUUAUCUGUAUUUAGUCUCAUACUAUUGUAAUGAAUCAUAGAAGAAUGUUCCUAUUCUCUAAAUAAUCAACCCUAUACCCCAAUAGUGGUGAUUCCUUCUCUCAGUUCAUUUAUUUAAAUAUGGAGAUCGUGCUGUUUGAAAAACAGGGUUAGGGUUCAAAAGUUUGAUUCAGUUCCAAGCAUUCUACCUUUCUGUCAUCUUUAAAGUGCAUGGGUGAGUGGUGAUAAAAUAGCUUCUUUAGAGUUAGUUUCUGUAGUGAGUAUAACACAUGGCCUUGGAGGGGAAAGGGAAGACUUGUUAACUAAACAAUAAUUAGAGAAAUGAGACUUGAAGUCAAAAAAUAAUUUAUGAAAAUGCCUCAAACAAGUUAAAAGCUAAGUCUUAUUUUGCUCUAGGCUAUUCCUAACAAUAUUUAUUCUGUACUAUCAUCUUGUUACCUGAAACAUUCUGGUCAAAGACUGCUUCAUUUACAAUAUGCAUCUUCUACCUGAAGCAGCUGCAUUUUCUUUGGGAAUUCUUAGUUUAGUUGUAUGAGCUGUGUUUCAUCCAAAUUAACCACAUCAUAUAUAUUUUGCAAAACAAUGUGUGAAUGUAUAAAAAAUGGGGUUUUAUGUAUUAGAUCUUCUUUAAUAGUAGGUUUAUUUCUUUUAAUAUUUGACUAUUUCCCAAGGAGGGGAGACUGGGUAGAAUCCUCUAUCGACAUACCUCUGUUUUAUAUAGCCAGGUACAGUAGUAGCAUUUUAGACUUUAUUGCAACCUUUGAAUUUUAAUUACCAACAAAAUAAACAGAAGUUUAAGAGAUUUGCCCAUUUCACAUACCAGAUAGGAGAAAGAUGUUAGGUAAAGCACAUCCUACCAGAGGAAACAGGAACAAGCACACCAUUCUGGUGUAAAGAACCAGGAUGAUCCUGGGAGAUGAUGACUGAAAUUUCUUGUGUUUGAUCUUAUGGGCUCACCUGUUAGCUAUACUCAAUUUUGAAUAUUUUUUCAUCAAGGUACUGAUAGUUGUAAUAAAAUUCAUGGUCUAGAAUUUCGAAAUCUUGAGAAAUACAUACAAAUAAUUCUAUUCUUUGCAGCAGUACAAUUCUUGGACAUUCAAUUUAGUACUGCACUCAGGUCUAAGAGUAACUAAUCAAAUUGCCAAGCUUCUAGGGUAAAAUGUUCAAGUAAGAUCAGUUUAGUAUCCAUUAUAAAUCCUGCUUUAUCUGAAAUAAUUUUAAUUGAAUAUAUUUAUAAAGAUGCUUCCAUCCAUAUUUCCUUUUCAUUAAAUUGAGGAAAGAGAGAAGGAAUACAUAUAUAGUAGCAAUUUAAAAGGAAGGAUGUGCAUUCAACAUCCCGGCAAAAUAUUUGACGUUUUCAGCAUGAGUAGACAUUAGUGACAAGUAUGCUGAUAACAGUAACUAUAUUAUUUACAUUUUGAGAUAAAUGUAUAUGAGACUGCAUUAUGAAACAAACAAAAUGUUAAAAAGUUGGGAUAUUUAUAUAGUUAGUUACCAAGCACAUCUAAAUUAUAUUAAAGUAACCAAAAUAUUUUUAUAAUCCCAAAGGCAUGUCACAAUUUUUGAGCACCCUUAAUGUUUCCAAAUAGAAAACUGAAAAAUUUGACAUGCCCUAUAAAAACUGAGCCAUAUCAUAUCAUUGGAAUAUGUAAUCCAGUAUUUUAAAGCAAGUUUACGAAAUUGUCUUAAACACAUCUUCUUGACUUUUUAUCACUAGGAUGCCUAGUGCCUAAAUAGAAGUGUAUGGGGUGAAUGGUUAUAUUGGGGUCAAUUUCUGUAAUUGCUACUGUAUAUCUUAUUGAAGACAGAAGGCAAUUCAAGAGAAUAAAUAAAACAUGUAAGAUUGUGAAAUAAAUGUUCUUUCAUCAACCCUAGGCAUUUUUAGAAAAAAAGGAUUAACUCAAAGUUACAAAUGUGAUCAAUAAUGCAGCACUUCAGCUGAAAAGCCUUUAUAAUAUCUACAUUCAGACAUAGAUAAGCAAUAAGUAGAAGCAAUUGUCUUGAGAAUUUUGAUAUGAAGAAACUAUUUUGAUGAUAAUGUUCAUGUCAUUUCAGAUACAUGCCCAGUGACCAACUGCUUUUGUGAGUGAUUGUGAAAUUAGAGAAGAUUUUAAAUAACCAUUAGCCUAUUUUUCAAAUGUGUGUGAAAUACUAAAUGUCAUCAUUUUACAAGAACUCAACAUUCAUGCCAAGCAAUCACAUUGAAAGUAGCUUCUAAUAAAAUCUGUUAUCACAAGAGGUGGCAAAAUGUACUCAAAAGCAGCUUCUUUAUUACAGGGUUUGAAGUAUACAUACAUACCCCUCCAGUGCAAAAUAGUCCCACAGCACUACUGACUCUCAGUUCCCCACCCUUUCCAAAACAAUACCCACUACCUGGGGACAGCUAUAAUGACAAACAAAAUCAAGCAAGCAUUAAGAAAUAUGCACAAUGUUUGAUAUUAUCUCUAUUCAGGAGCAAAUGUACUUUUAACAUUAGGAAACAAGCAAAUCAAGAAUCACCACCACAUAAACACUCCCAGAAUUUUCACUAACACAUGCUCUAAUUCGAAUUUCACUGCUUACGAGCAAUUGCAUGUAGUUGCUGGGCUUGUAUUUUUAAGCUUACAAGUAUGAACUUCAAGAGGUUUAGAAUAUUAAUUGCAAUUGUAAGAAUGAUCCUCCCUCCUCAAAAUUGGAUUUUAAGUCCAAUUUUCUCUCUAAACACUUCCUCAAUGUUGUUCUAAAUAUAGGCAUACCCCAGACCAUUUUUCUUCAAUACUUCUUAUGUUGUAUACUUGGAGGUAGCAAGCUACACAAAGGAAGCAGGCAUGGAAGGUGUCCCUUCCCAAUCAUCUGAGCUAAUGUCUAAGAAUCUAGUACAAAUCAGAAUGGGGAGAAGAGAUCCAUCCACUUAUCCAUUUCACAGAAUACUAUUGCUGCCUAUCAUAUCAACAAAACAGAGUUGUAGAGAAAAAGAAAUAUUGGCAUUUAUGGGAAUUAUGUAAAUUCAAGUGCCAAAACAAUUUCACAAAUGCAAAUUAGAUAGCUAACAUAUCUAAUUGCAUAUUCCUACAUAAGCACUAGCUAGGAUAAUACGGCACUUUAUUUUUUUAUUGGCAGAUUUAAAAACAAAUAAAAUAAGCUUAUUGAAAAAAAGGAGGCAGCUGAAGAGUGAGGAACAAA